ensembl:lncRNA
CCUCAACGUCUGACGCAACGCGUGAACUGAUGGGACAGAAGACAAAAGUGACCGAGUGGUUGUCUGCAUCGUCUUCACAACUCUGGAUCUGAUUCUGAACUUGUUUCUUUAUUUUCUCCAUCAGCGUCAGGUGGGCGUCAAACGUUUUACCGCCGACAACCAUCUUGUACGACGUGGCUGUAGAAAGAGAAAUGGCUGUGAGUGUGAAACAGAUUAAUACAUUUACAAGAACAGUAAAAUAUAAUCAUUCUUUAAAUAUGUUUGAUGCAUAGUUCAGAUAAAAAUGAAAAACUACAAAAAUGAAAAGAUAAAAUUUGUCAUAAGAUCCCUUUAUGUGCAUUAAUACAUUCUGUUUCAAACAGUGACAACGUCUCAUUAGACAACUUAUCAGAAUGACAGACUCACAAUAAGAACCAUAUAUUAUCAAUGAGUCAGAUCUAUUUUCACACCCACUCAGGAGGACUGAAAGAAAAGCAGGUUUCCCAAAAUAUAUACUGGACAAAUGCACUGUGUAUGAAAUAAAAACGGCGUUCUCUUUGGCUACUCUGAUGCUCCUCACAAGGACACAUCUGAUCUUUUGUGGCCGCUGUUGGGAAACAACGCAGUUAUAGCUCAAAAUAUGUAAAUAAACCUAUAUUUACCAACAAUAACAGGCAAAUUUCACUUUUGUUGUUGAGCUAUAACUGCAGGACCGUCAGACAUGGAAGAUAUUUAAGCUCAAUUAUGUUCAGCCAAACAAUCACAGUGCUCAAACAAAUGAAGUGCAUUGAAGGAGAAGAUGUGGACACAAACAAAUAUUAACAUGAAAACAUGAAUGUGCGAGGAGGAAGAAGAUUAUAUUUACGUUGUUUUGUGUUGUGAUUAUCCGGGCCAGAAUAUUCCCCUGAUCCAAAACCGCUGUUUGAGGUUCCUGAACCUGCCGAAGAGUCUGUAACAUGAAAUGUGCAGAUGAUCUCACUGUAUUGUAUUGUAAAAUGUAUUGUACAUUAUUUACUGGAUACUGUUCAUUAACAGGAGCGAGAGGAAGCUUCACCUGGUGCUGCUUGUGGACGGCCAUCACUUGGAGUAAUCUGGAGCU